AAAGGAAAUGGAUGUAUUGCGAAUUGUGUAACAAUAGUUAGCUGUCUCCUUUUCGUCCACGAUACAACCAGUCUAGGCUGGUAGCGAAAAUUCCAACACAUUUUCGUGGUUGCGUACUUUCGAAUAUUCAGCGCGCACCCGAGCGACGUGGAGCUGUAGCCGAGCAAGGAAAAUAUUUUCGCAGUUGGAUAAAAAUUUACCUGUCAAGUUUCGCUUGUAAAACAUAAUUUUAAUAAGGGCUGAAUAGACUUCAACAUCUAGUG